rnacentral:rRNA from 1 species
CACGUGGGCAAUCUGCCCUUCACUCUGGGACAAGCCCUGGAAACGGGGUCUAAUACCGGAUAAUACUCCUGCUCGCAUGGGUGGGGGUUGAAAGCUCCGGCGGUGAAGGAUGAGCCCGCGGCCUAUCAGCUUGUUGGUGAGGUAGAAGCUCACCAAGGCGACGACGGGUAGCCGGCCUGAGAGGGCGACCGGCCACACUGGGACUGAGACACGGCCCAGACUCCUACGGGAGGCAGCAGUGGGGAAUAUUGCACAAUGGGCGAAAGCCUGAUGCAGCGACGCCGCGUGAGGGAUGACGGCCUUCGGGUUGUAAACCUCUUUCAGCAGGGAAGAAGCGAAAGUGACGGUACCUGCAGAAGAAGCGCCGGCUAACUACGUGCCAGCAGCCGCGGUAAUACGUAGGGCGCAAGCGUUGUCCGGAAUUAUUGGGCGUAAAGAGCUCGUAGGCGGUCUGUCGCGUCGGAUGUGAAAGCCCGGGGCUUAACCCCGGGUCUGCAUUCGAUACGGGCAGACUAGAGUGUGGUAGGGGAGAUCGGAAUUCCUGGUGUAGCGGUGAAAUGCGCAGAUAUCAGGAGGAACACCGGUGGCGAAGGCGGAUCUCUGGGCCAUUACUGACGCUGAGGAGCGAAAGCGUGGGGAGCGAACAGGAUUAGAUACCCUGGUAGUCCACGCCGUAAACGGUGGGAACUAGGUGUUGGCGACAUUCCACGUCGUCGGUGCCGCAGCUAACGCAUUAAGUUCCCCGCCUGGG